rnacentral:rRNA from 1 species
UACGUGGGUGGCAAGCGUUAUCCGGAUUUAUUGGGCGUAAAGGGAACGCAGGCGGUCUUUUAAGUCUGAUGUGAAAGCCUUCGGCUUAACCGGAGUAGUGCAUUGGAAACUGGGAGACUUGAGUGCAGAAGAGGAGAGUGGAACUCCAUGUGUAGCGGUGAAAUGCGUAGAUAUAUGGAAGAACACCAGUGGCGAAAGCGACUCUCUGGUCUGUAACUGACGCUGAGGUUCGAAAGCGUGGGUAGCAAACAGG